rnacentral:rRNA from 1 species
GAUGAACGCUGGCGGCGUGCUUAACACAUGCAAGUCGAACGGACAGGCGCUGCGCUUGUUGGGUGCUCGAUUGGCGAACGGGUGAGUAACACGUGAGUAUCCUGCCCUUGACUUUGGGAUAACUUCAGGAAACUGGGGCUAUUACCGGAUAGGAGCUCCUGCUGCAUGGUGGGGGAUGGUAAGUUUCGGCGGUUGGGGAUGGACUCGCGGCUUAUCAGCUUGUUUGUGGAGUAGUGGCUUACCAAGGUUUUGACGGGUAGCCGGCCUUAGAGGGUGACCGGGGACCAUGGGCCUGAGGGACGGCGCAGAAGGGUACGGGACGCAGCAGUGGGAAAUAUUACAGAACAAGGCGAAGCCUGAUAUAGCGGCGCUGCGUGCGGAAUGACGGGCUACGGGUUAUGAACAGAUUUCGACUGUAACGAGGACUUAGUGACGGUAAUGGAUCAAGAAGCAACGGCUAACUACGUG